GAAGCAGGCCCUGUGUACAGUUCUGUGCAUGUGCAUAGUUGCUGAAGGGGGCUCUGCAAAAUUAGUUCAGGGCGAAUGGGCAGUCGAGUUUCAAUGUCAAUUGAUUCAUCGACAAUCAUUUUCCCAACAUUC
rfam:Picea glauca, whole genome shotgun sequence.